rnacentral:rRNA from 1 species
GACGAACGCUGGCGGCGUGCUUAACACAUGCAAGUCGAACGGAAAGGCGCUGCUUUUGUUGGGUGGUCUGGUGGCGAGCGGGUGGGUAGAACAAGAGUAGCCUACCCUGGCCUUUGGUAUAGGUUAACGGCACGAAGGCGAAUCCAAGAUAGGAUAUCCUGCUUCUGUGUGAGGGUUGGACUGUGUCGGCGGUUGGGGCUGGGGUGGCGGUUUAUCCGCUUGUUGGUGGGGUGGUGGCCUACCAAGGCUUUGACGGGUAGCCGGCGUGAGAGGGUGGCCGGACAGAGUGGGACUGAGAGGCGGGCGGGACUGCGACGGGAGGCAGCAGUGGGGAAUAUUGCACGAUGGGCGCAAGCCUGAUGCAGCGACGCGGCGUGAGGGAUGGAGGCCGUCGGGUUGUGAACAUCUUUCGCGAGUGAAGCAGGCCUGCCUCGUUUGUGGGUGGGUUGACGGUAGCUGGAUAAGAAGCGCCGGCUAACUACGUG